GCUACUCGACGGCGUGAACACCGCUGGACUUCCAGGCCGUUCGGGAGCUCCGGUCUUUCGCUAUUAGGGUUCCCCCAUCGGUGUUUGGUACUUUGGGGCGAACUCAAUGGCAAAGUGUAUUUCGUGCGGCGUUCGGUUGUUUUAGCUGGGAUCUGAGCGGUAUUCUCACGAACUGUGCACUCAGACCCUAGCUAUCUACCGAAC